UCUAUCAGCCGGCUGUCGCUUCGCAUUUAUGCGGGGAGGAAAGUCCGGACAGCACAGAGCAAUGCACCGGUUAAUUGCCGGCUGUUUUUAGCGAUAAAAACAAGAAAGAGUGCCACAGAAAAUAACCGUCCACUGCAAAGUGGGUAAGGGUGAAAAUGUGAGGUAAGAGCUCACAGUCCUGCAGGGUAACUUACGGGAAGGGUAAACUUUGCAUGCUGUAAUGUCACAUAUACCUCUGGUCCCGCAAAAGCGGAAGGCAGGCGGCUCGUUUGCUGCAUUGGCAACAAUGCACAGAGAAGGGUAGGCAGCAAGACUGGCGCAGUAAUGCGGCAGCAAGAUAAAUGACGGCCUUCGUUGUAUGGACACUCCCUUUACGGGAAGCUAAUCUUUCAACGAAAACAGAAUCCGGCUUAUGGCUGAUAGAUUUU
rnacentral:RNase_P_RNA from 1 species